rnacentral:lncRNA from 1 species
UUUUAUUUUUUCUAAUUUUUUACAACAGUAUUUUCUGCCUUUGUUUAUUUUUGCUGUCAAAAAUGUUUUUCAUGCUUUUUGUUUUAUUUUUUUUGCAAAAAAUAAUUUUUAUAUUACCUUGUAUUUUUUUACAAGAAAAAUAAAAAAAUGUUGUAUUAUAUUUUUUAUCUUUAUCAUGAAAAGCUUUUUAUUUUUUAUUUUUUAUGUUUUUUUUACAACAAGAAAAGCUUUUUAUUUUUUCUAUUUUAUUUCAAGCUUUUUAUUCAUUAUCUUUCAAAGCUUUUUAUUUUCUAUCUUUAUCUCUUUUUUUUAUCUUUAUCUUAAAAAAAUGUUGUAUUAUAUAAAUGACGACACGUGGGGGGUUCGAACUCGAACUCAAGACGCCCAUCUGAAAUUCAAGGUUGUCAACCAAUACCACCACAUCGCUUGAUGUGAUUCAUUAGCUUUUAUAAUAUAAUACAUAUUCAAUCAUCUUGCUGGAAUGGUUUUUUGUGGGAAUUAUCCCACAUCAAAGGAUGAAUGACCAUUUGUUCUCUAGAAAAUGUUGUGUACUAGUCCAUCACCAGCACGUAUAGAAAAGAGAUAAAAUGUUGUGUACUAGUCCAUCAGCUGCGCAUCUAGAAAAGAGAGGGGGCAUACAAGUGAGGUGAAUUAACACAUGCGGAAGAUUUUUAAGUGCCACGCCUCACGAGCCACGCUUCACUCUCGUGAGGUGAAUUAACACAUGUGGAAAAUUUUUAAGUGGCACGCCUCACAAGCCACGCCUCACUCUCGUGAGGUGAAUUAACACAUGUGGAAGAUUUUUAAGUGCCACGCCUCACUCUCGUGAGGCUGCCACGUGUCACUCUCGGUGAGACUCGCGAUUCACUAUUGGGAAUCGCAUGGAAUCGCCCAGGUUUCUCUGGACACGAGCGAUUCUCGAUUUUUUCGUAGAAUCGACUCGGUAUCAGACGAUUUUCGAGUAGAACCGAACGAGUCCGACUCGACUCGACGACUUUUUAAACACCGGUUUAGGGUCUUGGCCUUAUACAAACCGCACCCUAUUUUAAACCCUAACAUUAAUCCAUCAUCUAUUCCAAAUAACCGGAACAAUCAUCUAUAUUUUAGUAUGCAAGCCCCAAAAUCACAACCCAAAACUUCAUAUUUUAAAUUUAGAAACCCACGCAAUCUUUUAUUUUUAUUUUUUUUGGGUAGGUGAACCAAUACAAUACCCAAAUUUCAUGCCCGAAAUUUAGACCCCAAUACCCAAAUUUCAUGCCCGAAAUCACUCAAAAAAAGAGGAAGAAGAAGCUAAAUGGAUCUCCUGAGCGAAAACCAUAUAAAGAAUUUGGAAACCACCCCAAAAAUCUAAAUCCCCAAUACCAAAACCAUAAGAUAAGAUAAAAAUAAAAUAAGAAAUUCCAUUAAUUUUACCUGAACUCUUCUACCGGAUAUGACGGGUUUUGCUCUAGCAAAAAUGUAUUCACCCAACGGAGCUGCUCUCAAAUGGUUAAUAUUGAGUUCGAUCCCUGAAGUUCUCCGAAACCCUGAAGCCACAUGGGCUCCCAUGCUCGCAAGUCCUUCACAAAUUAGGGCGGAGACACCGCCAUGAAGGACCUUGAAGGGCUGGCAGCAAGUUUCAGUCACUCGGAAGCGACCGGAAACUUGUUCCGGCGAAACGAUCUCGACGGCGAAACCGAAAAUUUUGAGGGCUGAAUCAGGGGAGUUGAUGAGGAACCCAACUUCUUUAAGCUCGCCUGAUAAAUAAGAUCGGGUGAAAGAGUCAGCAGUCAUAUUGGGUUGCUUCUCUCUCCUCUUUUCCUGGUUUUCCUCUCUCCUCUCUGUCCUGAGGAGUUAAUUUUUGCCUCACUCUUCCUUUUCUCUCUCCUCUUUACUAAUUCUCUCUCUCUCUCUUAACUCUGCCUCUCUCUCCUUUUUCCAUAUUGUCCUCACUCUUCCUUUUCUCUCUCCUCUNNN